CCGGAUUUAUUGGGUUUAAAGGGUCCGCAGGCGGAAUAUUAAGUCAGUGGUGAAAGCCUACAGCUCAACUGUAGAACUGCCAUUGAAACUGUUAUUCUUGAGUAUGGAUGAAGUGGGCGGAAUAUGUCAUGUAGCGGUGAAAUGCAUAGAUAUGACAUGGAACACCAAUUGCGAAGGCAGCUCACUAAACCAUUACUGACGCUCAUGGACGAAAGCGUGGGGAGCGAACAGGAUUAGAUACCCUGGUAGUCCACGCCGUAAACGAUGAUCACUAGAUGU
rnacentral:rRNA from 1 species